AUUGAACGCUGGCGGCAUGCCUUACACAUGCAAGUCGAACGGUAACGGGCCUUCGGGUGCCGCCGAGUGGCGAACGGGUGAGUAAUACAUCGGAACGUGCCCGAUCGUGGGGGAUAACGAGGCGAAAGCUUUGCUAAUACCGCAUACGAUCUACGGAUGAAAGCAGGGGACCGCAAGGCCUUGCGCGGACGGAGCGGCCGAUGGCAGAUUAGGUAGUUGGUGGGAUAAAAGCUUACCAAGCCGACGAUCUGUAGCUGGUCUGAGAGGAUGAUCAGCCACACUGGGACUGAGACACGGCCCAGACUCCUACGGGAGGCAGCAGUGGGGAAUUUUGGACAAUGGGCGCAAGUCUGAUCCAGCCAUGCCGCGUGCAGGAUGAAGGCCUUCGGGUUGUAAACUGCUUUUGUACGGAACGAAAAGCCUUCUUUUAAUACAGGAGGGUCAUGACGGUACCGUAAGAAUAAGCACCGGCUAACUACGUG
rnacentral:rRNA from 1 species